rnacentral:lncRNA from 1 species
AGGAGUAUAAAGACCAGUGGUGACAAUUCUUGGAGAAUGAGAUGGACUCAGGAAAGUAAACGAGAAUUGCACUAGGCAUACCAAGCACCAUGAAGGGAGCACUAUAUUUGGGAGCAUAUAAUGAGUGCAAUCCUAGACUGGGUGACAGAAAAGGCUUCCCUACAGGAACUGAUAUUUAAGCUGAGAGCUGGAGGAUAUGUAAGACUGAGCCAAGCAAGCAGAAGGAGGAAGCGUGUUCCAGGCAGACGGACAGCAAAGAAGGCAACGUGCUUUGCCGUGAGCCUGAACGGAAGGAGAGCUCUUCUCCAAUCUCCUGCGUCCUCUGGUUGGCUUCGGACCACACCUGCCAUUGAACUUUCCAUAGCUGGAAUAGAGAACACUUGGCUUCCACACCCCUGUUCUGGCGUGUUCACUACACUAACAACCUCUUCUGUUACGUACAAGGUAAUUAAAGGAUGAGCUUAGAAGCUGGCACCUUUCCUUUAAAGUAAAAGGCAGCUUACGUUUUGCUAGUGACAGUCUCCUGUAAAAAUAACUCUCUUAUUAGCGAUGACAUAAGAGCCACUGAAACCAUCUCCGCUCAUGGUUAAGCUUGGAGCCUGCCCCAUGCCCUUCUGAGGCCCUUUCUCCAAUACAUGCUGACAAAAUCGGCUCCCUGUGCGCCAACAUCAACAUAAUGACCUCACCGUGGAUGAGUCUAUGAGUCUCUGAAGGCUGAAUGAUUCUUCAGAACACGCUGAGGAGAUGAGCUAGAGGCAUGAAUAAAUUGCUUGUACUUUUCCUUGCUGGCUGUAAAGCCAGCAUUGCUCUAUCUAAUGGAAUGUCUACAAAAAGCCACAAGAACUCCAUCGUUGUUGUUGUUGUUUUUCUUUUUAGGCUGAUAGGUUUUCUUUUUCAUCUCCUGCAGCAGGUCUUGUUUGAGAGAACUUUGGAAUGUGUAGUGACCACUAAGAGCAUGGAAUUGAAUUAGCUGAUUGAUUACAAAGAGAGAGCCUCAAUUUAAAAGAUAGAGGCCCAGACCGGGCAAAGUGGAUCGUUCCUGUAAUCCCAGCACUUUGGGAGGCCGAGGCAGGAGGAUCACUCGGGCCCAGGAGUUUGAGACCAGCCUGGGCAACAUAGUGAGACCUUAUCUCUACUAAAGAUAAAAAAGCUACCUGGGCAUAGUGGCACAUGCCUGUGGUCCUAUCUACUUGGGAGGCUGAGGUGGGAGGAUCACUCGAGUCCAGAAAGUUGAAGCUGCAGUGAGCUGUGAUCAUGCCCACUGCACUCUAGCCUAAGCGACAGUGAGACCCCAUCAAAAAAGAAAAAAAAAAAAGUAAAAGACAGAG